UUUUCCCGUCUGCUUAUUCUCCCCAACGCUAACCCCUUCAAUGGCGAUUUAGGGAUUGAGCUUUGCGAUCUUUGCCAUGGCUAUUUCAUGGCUGCUUUCGGGCAAAAUCUUGAGGGGUUUUGCUCCCCUUGUCUUCCUAACACUAAUGUCAGGGGCCUUUGAGCCUGCUAUUAUCUUGGCACCAUAACAUACAAAUGGAGAGAACUAAAGGGGGAAAUCCCAAGAUAUUCGAAUCGGUUAGGGAAUUUUGGGGAAUUUUAUCCUUUAAUGUACUAUGUGAACGUUGUGUUGUACUAAUUUUGGCUGUUUGUGUGACUCA